rnacentral:lncRNA from 1 species
AGUGAGGUAUGGCGUGUCCUCUCCAUGACAAUGUGAGGGAAAGUGAUGUAUGCCACUUCCAGGUUCUAUGGAACCCUGGAAUGAAGAGGAUGCCAACCUUGAAAAGCUAUUCUAGUUCUUUCAAUGUGCCAUAAUGGUAUAGGAGCAAAUGUUUCUGCUGAGGACACAGCAACGAAGCACCAAUUUUCACUGAGGUUCCUCACCAAACACUGAAUCCGCAAGUGCCUUGAUAUUGAACUUUCC